GCAUUGGUGGUUCAGUGGUAGAAUUCUUGCCUUCCACGCUGGAGACACAGGUUUGAUUCCCAGCCAGUUCA
rnacentral:tRNA from 1 species